AGAGUUUGAUCCUGGCUCAGAUUGAACGCUGGCGGCAUGCUUUACACAUGCAAGUCGAACGGCAGCACAGGGAGCUUGCUCCCGGGUGGCGAGUGGCGCACGGGUGAGUAAUACAUCGGAACGUGUCCUGUUGUGGGGGAUAACUGCUCGAAAGGGUGGCUAAUACCGCAUGAGACCUGAGGGUGAAAGCGGGGGAUCGCAAGACCUCGCGCAAUUGGAGCGGCCGAUGCCCGAUUAGCUAGUUGGUGAGGUAAAGGCUCACCAAGGCGACGAUCGGUAGCUGGUCUGAGAGGACGACCAGCCACACUGGGACUGAGACACGGCCCAGACUCCUACGGGAGGCAGCAGUGGGGAAUUUUGGACAAUGGGGGCAACCCUGAUCCAGCCAUGCCGCGUGCAGGAUGAAGGCCUUCGGGUUGUAAACUGCUUUUGUCAGGGACGAAAAGGACCGUGUUAAUACCAUGGUCUGCUGACGGUACCUGAAGAAUAAGCACCGGCUAACUACGUGCCAGCAGCCGCGGUAAUACGUAGGGUGCAAGCGUUAUCCGGAAUUAUUGGGCGUAAAGGGCUCGUAGGCGGUUCGUCGCGUCCGGUGUGAAAGUCCAUCGCUUAACGGUGGAUCCGCGCCGGGUACGGGCGGGCUUGAGUGCGGUAGGGGAGACUGGAAUUCCCGGUGUAACGGUGGAAUGUGUAGAUAUCGGGAAGAACACCAAUGGCGAAGGCAGGUCUCUGGGCCGUCACUGACGCUGAGGAGCGAAAGCGUGGGGAGCGAACAGGAUUAGAUACCCUGGUAGUCCACGCUGUAAACGAUGGAUACUAGGUGU
rnacentral:rRNA from 1 species